AUGGAGCCACAUAUCUUUAUGGCUUUGGCAUCUUAUCUUAGAAGAGAGAACUUGGUAUCAGAUACAUGAACCAAGGUGGAGGAGAAGUUAGUUUUUUUCCUAUACAAGGUGUCGCACAAUACAUGUGAUAAAGAUUUUCAGAUAGAAUUCCAGCAUGGUGGCUGGACAUUUCAUAAGUACAUUAAAGAUUUCUUCGACAUCAUCCGCGUCUUAGUUAGUCGGAUUUUGAAGCCUCCAAACAUUGAUGAACCACAUGCGAAAAUUUCAACCGAUCCAAGAUUCCAUCUUUAUUUCCAUGUUUUUAUUUUUAACACUUUAAUAAUUCUUCUCUUAUGUACCUCAAAGUUAUCUAUUGGCUUGCAAUCUAUUUUCUUUCAGAAUUUUAUAGGAGCCACUGAUGGGCCUCAUGUACCUAUAAUUGCAACACCCGAGAUUGCCACUCAAUUUCGAAAUAGAAAAUGUCCUUUUAGUCAUAAUGUCAUGAUUGGAUGUGACUUUGACCUAAGAAUCACUUCUAUACCAUGUGGCUAG
rnacentral:rRNA from 1 species